GCCUUCGUCGUGUAAUGAUCAGCACACUCGGCUGGUAUUUGAGAGGUCCGAGGUUCGAGACCCGGCGAGGGUA
rnacentral:tRNA from 1 species